CUGUUAUUUUAUUUUAUAUCCCUGGCAAUGCACCUUUGAUUUCCUAUCACGUGGUUAUGUGCGCUGUCCCCUUUAAGAAAUAAGCGUUCGCGCACAUGAGAGAGAGAAGUGCACGUCGACCGACGGAGAACUGAGUUAAAGCGUUGCACAAAGAAAUAGUUGAUAAAACUGUUAAAAGGAGAUAAAUCCCAGUUUAUAUCUACUCGUGAAUGUGUGGGUACAUGGUUUCAUUUGACGAUUACAAAGGAGUUGCCUUAUUGCACGUGAGAGAUCGCCAGUGGGGGAAGGGAAAUUCGGACCACGUUAAUGGAGAUCGAGCAGGGGAGAGCAACGAAAUGUGAGAUCGAGUGUUAAUGACCAUGUGAGCUUUUGCUGUGUGCUUCGUGGAAUCAGUCGGAGAGAGCACAUAUAGGCCACUGCCGUUGUUUUGUACGCCGUUGUUUUGUACGCUGC